rnacentral:pre_miRNA from 1 species
UUCUACCAUAACCGGCUGGACGGUAGGCAUACACAUCCUACCGCCACAAGCAGUAACUGUAGGGCUCGGAUCAAUGCGGAUGGUUCCUUCGGGUCAACGGAGUCAAACGACCUUAUCGCCAUUGUCUGCAGCGAUAGGAUGUGUAUGCCUACCGCCAUAGCGGGUGACGGUAGGA